GAUGAACGCUAGCGGCAGGCCUAAUACAUGCAAGUCGAACGAGAUUAAGAGGCUUGCUUCUUAUGAAAGUGGCGCACGGGUGCGUAACGCGUAUGCAACCUACCUUAAUCAGGGGGAUAGCCCGAAGAAAUUCGGAUUAAGACCGCAUAAAAACACAGGAUAGCAUUAUCCAAUGUUCAAAUAUUUAUAGGAUUAAGAUGGGCAUGCGUGUCAUUAGCUAGUUGGCGGGGUAACGGCCCACCAAGGCGACGAUGACUAGGGGAUCUGAGAGGAUGACCCCCCACACUGGUACUGAGACACGGACCAGACUCCUACGGGAGGCAGCAGUAAGGAAUAUUGGUCAAUGGAGGAAACUCUGAACCAGCCAUGCCGCGUGCAGGAAGACAGCCCUCUGGGUCGUAAACUGCUUUUAUUCGGGAAUAAACCUUUCUACGUGUAGGAAGCUGAAUGUACCGAAGGAAUAAGGAUCGGCUAACUCCGUG
rnacentral:rRNA from 1 species